rnacentral:lncRNA from 13 species
AUGAGGACACUGAAACCAGAGACACAUUUUCCUGGGGAACGUUCUAGACUUCAAAAUGUUGGCAUUUUGGGGGCUGCCUCUCAGCGAGUUGACUACUGCUGACCUCUAAUGGCAAGCCAAGCCCAGUGCCCUCCGGGACUCCUCAGCAGGCUGGAGAACACCCACAGGAUAAUGCAAAUAGAAGCGUCUGUGCUCAGCACUCCUCAGUCCACCUGGUUAGCUACAGAGCAACAAUGUCAUCUGCAGGGUUUCUACACAGGACUCCAGCUCCUAAUGAAGAGGGGAAAAAUGUUUCCCACGGCAGUGGAACUGUGCACGGUCCCAGAUCAAGGGCUCUUUUCAGGUUGCCUGAAGUUCUUCAAGAUCAAGAAACAGUUUGGAAUUAAGGGUACCAAAUCUUGUGAGACAUUUUGUUUUGUGUUUUUUUAAAUGGAAAACAAAGGUGAGCAGACAAAUGCAUAACAUUUCAUCAGAAAAGGAAACCAAACCCUUGGUCAAAAAAGUGAAUCAGCAACAGUUAACUGAGAGGAGGUGUCUUAAAGAUAAUCCCAUUAUCCUCAAAGUAUCUCUGAGUUUGAGGCACCAGAUUUAUGGACUGCCAUCUCCUAUAUGAAAAGAUAAAGGGAGAAUAAAUCUAUGUUUACAUUCA